rnacentral:circRNA from 1 species
UUCUCUCAGUGAAAUAGAAGAUUCCCUCCCUCCUGGUAAAGCCGUGUUUUAUACAUGGGCUGAUCCGGUGGGCUCUAGAAGGCUGAAGUGGAGAUGUAGAAAAAGCCAUGGUGAAGUAACACAGAAGGAUGAUAUGAUGAUGCCUAUAGAUUUGGGGGAAAAGACAAUAUAUUUAGUUUCAUUCUUUGAAGGUUUACAACGCAUUAUUUUAUUCACUGAAGAUCCAAGGGUAUUUAAAGUAACAUAUGAAAGUGAGAAAGCAGAGUUAGCAGAGCAAGAAAUUGCAGUGGCAUUACAAGAUGUUGGAAUUUCUCUUGUCAACAAUUACACGAAGCAAGAAGUAGCCUAUAUAGGCAUUACAAGUUCUGAUGUGGUUUGGGAAACAAAGCCCAAGAAGAAGGCAAGAUGGAAGCCAAUGAGUGUAAAGCACACUGAGAAGUUAGAGAGAGAAUUUAAGGAAUAUACUGAAUCUUCUCCUUCAGAAGAUAAGGUUAUUCAGUUGGACACUAAUGUUCCGGUUCGCCUAACCCCUACUGGUCAUAACAUGAAAAUUCUGCAGCCGCAUGUAAUAGCUCUACGAAGAAAUUAUCUUCCAGCAUUAAAAGUGGAAUAUAACACAUCUGCACAUCAAUCAUCAUUUAGAAUUCAGAUUUACAGAAUACAGAUCCAAAAUCAGAUACAUGGUGCUGUAUUUCCCUUUGUGUUUUAUCCUGUUAAACCUCCAAAGUCGGUCACCAUGGAUUCAGCACCAAAGCCCUUUACAGAUGUCAGUAUUGUCAUGAGAUCUGCAGGACAUUCCCAGAUAUCACGUAUUAAGUAUUUCAAAGUAUUGAUUCAAGAAAUGGAUCUCAGGUUAGAUCUUGGGUUUAUCUAUGCUUUAACAGACCUUAUGACAGAAGCUGAGGUGACUGAAAAUACAGAGGUUGAGCUUUUUCAUAAAGAUAUAGAAGCUUUCAAAGAAGAAUAUAAAACAGCCUCAUUAGUAGAUCAAUCACAAGUCAGCCUCUAUGAAUAUUUUCAUAUAUCUCCUAUCAAGUUACAUUUAAGUGUUUCACUGAGUUCCGGCAGAGAAGAAGCUAAAGAUUCAAAACAAAAUGGAGGACUGAUUCCAGUUCAUUCUUUAAAUCUUUUGCUGAAGAGUAUUGGUGCCACACUGACAGAUGUACAAGAUGUAGUUUUUAAGCUUGCAUUUUUUGAACUCAACUAUCAGUUCCAUACAACAUCCGAUCUACAGUCUGAAGUCAUAAGACACUAUUCAAAACAG